rnacentral:lncRNA from 1 species
GGAAACCCAACUGCUUUCAGGGAACUUGGGAUUAAAAGAAUCAAACUUCCUAGAGGCAAAUGAUAGGUGAUGGUUUUCAGUGUCCACAAGGGAGACGAGUGGUCAGGCAGGAAAGCUGGGCUUCCCACAGCUUUGUCCUGAGGUUGGGUGAGGGAUGGGAGCUCCCGUAAGCUGCCUUUCCUGCAACUUGUGAGAACUGCAGGGAGUCUCUGGCAUCUCCUAAGAGGCUGAGCUCCUGCUGCAGCCUUUCCUCGAGGGAGGACACUAAGGAAGUGCCUGUCCUCUAGCUGACAGCCCACUGAAACUAAAACUCCGAGUUCUCUCUCUCUGCUAAAUUGAGAUCAAAUCAGUUGACAGGCUCCGAAGCGGUUGGAACACACAAGCCCACGGUGUAAUUGCAUAAGCCACUUUUUUUUUUGUGAGCCAAGCUGAAAACCAUCAGUAUAUUUUACAACUCUCAUUAUAACCAUUUUGUGUCUACCUCCAUGUUCACAGUGCUGUCCAAACGUGGACUUCAGGAACGCUGGAGCGGUGCGUGGCUGAUGGGAGGACAGCUGUGGAUGUGUGUGCUGCAGCAGGAACACCUUUGGGAUUUGGGAGCCCAGCCCUACAGAGAUGCUCCUGCACUCAGACUGGGGGAGAAGGAGGCUCUGGCAGUGGGCGCCUUGGCAAGACUCGGUUAACUUCUGAAGAGGAAGAAAAGGGCAAAGAGCCCAUGUUAGCCCUUAGCAGAGCCUGGCACAGCACUGCGAGGACUUCAUCUCCCUGCCAUUGCAUGUUGGAUGUUCCUGGUGACACCGGAGCAGGAUUCAAAAGCAGUUUCCCAGUGGAGCAGACAACAAACAGCAAGCAAGAGGAGCAAAACAGGACAAGGAGUUUCUGUAGGACCUACCAGAAGCUGGCUGGCAGUUUAGGUAUGUAAGCAACAGCUAAAAAGGAGUUUGCAUUUAAGCUUCAAGUGCAGCUUCUGGGCUUGGGAGGCUGGGAGGGAGACGCUCCUCGCGAGU